GUCCACGCCGUAAACGAUGUCUACUAGCAGUUGGGUUCCUUGAGGACUUAGUGGCGCAGCUAACGCAAUAAGUAGACCGCCUGGGGAGUACGGUCGCAAGAUUAAAACUCAAAUGAAUUGACGGGGGCACGCACAAGCGGUGGAGCAUGUGGUUUAAUUAGACGCAACGCGAAGAACCUUACCAGGUCUUGACAUCCAGAGAACUUUCCAGAGAUGGAUUGGUGCCUUCGGGAGCUCUGAGACAGGUGCUGCAUGGCUGUCGU
rnacentral:rRNA from 1 species